CAGAGCUUUUCUUUCCGGUGGCUUAUUCUCUGCAACAAAUGUAAUAGCAGCCGUAAGGACCACAUCCAGCUGACCUAAAUUUGGUAGUGCCUAUUCAGUCAUUGCUUGACCGAGCUUGGGUGAUGCACCCACUUCUUAGGGUGAAGGACUGGCACUCUCAGGGAUGAGUCAUCCUCCAUUCCUGGGUAGUGGAAAGAUUCCUCAGUGCAGGGAAGAGUCUGUUCCUGACCAAACUUCCAAGAGAACCUGACCUGUUUCCCACAGGUAGGUUUUCUUUCAAAAGGAAUUUGUUUGUCGUGUUGCACUGGCGCAGCAGCAUGUGGUCCCUGUUUCCAAGGCGAGGGAGGUCAGCAGGACUGCUGAGUGAUGUGGUAAUAAAUGAGAGAUGGAGAAGAUGGACUGCCCGCUCCUGCCCACUCACCUCUAUCCUUUAGACGACGAUAGACCAGAUAGACUCGAGGACAUGCAAGGGCUGCCAAGUAGUUAACCUGCUGGAAAAAAGAAAAAGGAGUGCAGCUGCAAUGAACGAACUGUCCUUUGGUGAAAACAUCUUAAUGCUUCCUUAAUUACACCCCUGUAGGGCAUGCACAUCUUAAUAGCUAGCAGUGUCCACAUGGAGAUGGCAAUUCAAACUUAACUCUUGCGAAGUUUCGGUGAGAACAGAUAAAUAACUCUUUUACCAUGUUUUUGAGAAGCCUUAAGGGAAAAGAAAUAGAAGUGGAUUGGAGAAUUGGGGCCUAAAGUGUCUGAUAUUACUGUAUUACAUUGCCUUUCUGCUCCCACUGAAAUAGCGAUGUGCAGCAUAAACCAUCUCCUUACCACGCAUAUUCUCACAGCUUGACUAUUUGCAUGGGAAAGUUUUACAAGUUAUUUCAGCAAAGCUGUACUAGAAAAUUGCCUUCUUUGAAUGAUUCUUCUCUAGUGCAAGCGCAUCUGCAUGAGGAGGCAAAUACAGCUAGUUUUAUUCAAAUCCUUGCUUCUGGCUCCACUAGUACUUGUCCCACUUUGGGCAAUACUGAACGUAGAUUAGAUUUUCAGCUGAAAUGGAGGUUGUAAGGGGAGAGUGAUCACUGAAGAUAUCUAUACUGUUUUUUCCCUUUUCUUGUCUCAGUUAUCAUCAAUAUAAUCUCUUGUGAUGUAUUCCAGUAUGGGGAAAUUUAACAAUUGGUCUAAGCCUUCAAACCAUGUAAUUCAAAAGCUUC